AUUGAACGCUGGCGGCAGGCCUAACACAUGCAAGUCGAACGAGUGGCGGACGGGUGAGUAAUGUCUGGGAAACUGCCCGAUGGAGGGGGAUAACUACUGGAAACGGUAGCUAAUACCGCAUACCAUCGGAUGUGCCCAGAUGGGAUUAGCUUGUAGGUGAGGUAACGGCUCACCUAGGCGACGAUCCCUAGCUGGUCUGAGAGGAUGACCAGGCACACGGGAACGGAGACACGGUGCAGACGCCGACGGGUGGCAGCAGUGGGGAAUAUGGCACAAUGGGCGCAAGCCUUAUGCAGCAAGGCCGCGUGUAUGAAGAAGGCCUUCGGGUUGUAAAGUACUUUCAGCGGGGAGGCGUUACCCGCAGAAGAAGCACCGGCUAACUCCGUGCCAGCCGCCGCGGUAAUAC
rnacentral:rRNA from 1 species